GAUGAACGCUGCCUGCGUGCCUAAUACAUGCAAGUCGAGCGAACGGACGAGAAGCUUGCUUCUCUGAUGUUAGCGGCGGACGGGUGAGUAACACGUGGAUAACCUACCUAUAAGACUGGGAUAACUUCGGGAAACCGGAGCUAAUACCGGAUAAUAUUUUGAACCGCAUGGUUCAAAAGUGAAAGACGGUCUUGCUGUCACUUAUAGAUGGAUCCGCGCUGCAUUAGCUAGUUGGUAAGGUAACGGCUUACCAAGGCAACGAUGCAUAGCCGACCUGAGAGGGUGAUCGGCCACACUGGAACUGAGACACGGUCCAGACUCCUACGGGAGGCAGCAGUAGGGAAUCUUCCGCAAUGGGCGAAAGCCUGACGGAGCAACGCCGCGUGAGUGAUGAAGGUCUUCGGAUCGUAAAACUCUGUUAUUAGGGAAGAACAUAUGUGUAAGUAACUGUGCACAUCUUGACGGUACCUAAUCAGAAAGCCACGGCUAACUACGUGCCAGCAGCCGCGGUAAUACGUAGGUGGCAAGCGUUAUCCGGAAUUAUUGGGCGUAAAGCGCGCGUAGGCGGUUUUUUAAGUCUGAUGUGAAAGCCCACGGCUCAACCGUGGAGGGUCAUUGGAAACUGGAAAACUUGAGUGCAGAAGAGGAAAGUGGAAUUCCAUGUGUAGCGGUGAAAUGCGCAGAGAUAUGGAGGAACACCAGUGGCGAAGGCGACUUUCUGGUCUGUAACUGACGCUGAUGUGCGAAAGCGUGGGGAUCAAACAGGAUUAGAUACCCUGGUAGUCCACGCCGUAAACGAUGAGUGCUAAGUGUUAGGGGGUUUCCGCCCCUUAGUGCUGCAGCUAACGCAUUAAGCACUCCGCCUGGGGAGUACGACCGCAAGGUUGAAACUCAAAGGAAUUGACGGGGACCCGCACAAGCGGUGGAGCAUGUGGUUUAAUUCGAAGCAACGCGAAGAACCUUACCAAAUCUUGACAUCCUUUGACAACUCUAGAGAUAGAGCUUUCCCCUUCGGGGGACAAAGUGACAGGUGGUGCAUGGUUGUCGUCAGCUCGUGUCGUGAGAUGUUGGGUUAAGUCCCGCAACGAGCGCAACCCUUAAGCUUAGUUGCCAUCAUUAAGUUGGGCACUCUAAGUUGACUGCCGGUGACAAACCGGAGGAAGGUGGGGAUGACGUCAAAUCAUCAUGCCCCUUAUGAUUUGGGCUACACACGUGCUACAAUGGACAAUACAAAGGGCAGCGAAACCGCGAGGUCAAGCAAAUCCCAUAAAGUUGUUCUCAGUUCGGAUUGUAGUCUGCAACUCGACUACAUGAAGCUGGAAUCGCUAGUAAUCGUAGAUCAGCAUGCUACGGUGAAUACGUUCCCGGGUCU
rnacentral:rRNA from 1 species